AGCAUUACAGAUAACAUGGAGUUCGCUCUUCAAAACCUCAGCAAUCUCCCCAGACCAUGCAUCUAUAAUGCUCAGAUCUCGCUACCUGAACCGUUGGAAGCAAAAGAGACUCUGGCACGAAGUUUGUAUCCUUGGAGAGCCUUCCUAGAAAGGUACGGUCCUUUCCCGAUGAUGUACUGGCAAUGGGACCUCAUUG